rnacentral:rRNA from 1 species
GAAAGAUUCAUCGGAAGAGGAUGGGCAUGCGGCGCAUUAGCUAGACGGCGGGGUAACGGCCCACCGUGGCGACGAUGCGUAGGGGUUCUGAGAGGAAGGUCCCCCACACUGGUACUGAGACACGGACCAGACUCCUACGGGAGGCAGCAGUGAGGAAUAUUGGUCAAUGGGAGAGAUCCUGAACCAGCCAAGCCGCGUGAGGGAAGACGGCCCUAUGGGUUGUAAACCUCUUUUGUCGGAGAACAAAACCCGGGACGUGUCCCGGACUGCGUGUAUCCGAAGAAAAAGCAUCGGCUAACUCCGUGCCAGCAGCCGCGGUAAUACGGAGGAUGCGAGCGUUAUCCGGAUUUAUUGGGUUUAAAGGGUGCGUAGGCGGUCCGUUAAGUCAGCGGUAAAAUUGCGGGGCUCAACCCCGUCGAGCCGUUGAAACUGGCAGACUUGAGUUGGCGAGAAGUACGCGGAAUGCGCGGUGUAGCGGUGAAAUGCAUAGAUAUCGCGCAGAACUCCGAUUGCGAAGGCAGCGUACCGGCGCCAGACUGACGCUGAGGCACGAAAGCGUGGGGAUCGAACAGGAUUAGAUACCCUGGUAGUCCACGCAGUAAACG